GUGGGGAAUCUUAGACAAUGGGGGAAACCCUGAUCUAGCCAUGCCGCGUGAGCGAUGAAGGCCUUAGGGUUGUAAAGCUCUUUCAGCUGGGAAGAUAAUGACGGUACCAGCAGAAGAAGCCCCGGCUAACUCCGUGCCAGCAGCCGCGGUAAUACGGAGGGGGCUAGCGUUGUUCGGAAUUACUGGGCGUAAAGCGCACGUAGGCGGAUUAAUAAGUCAGAGGUGAAAUCCCAGGGCUCAACCUUGGAACUGCCUUUGAUACUGUUAGUCUUGAGGUCGAGAGAGGUGAGUGGAAUUCCGAGUGUAGAGGUGAAAUUCGUAGAUAUUCGGAGGAACACCAGUGGCGAAGGCGGCUCACUGGCUCGAUACUGACGCUGAGGUGCGAAAGCGUGGGGAGCAAACAGGAUUAGAAACCCUUGUAGUCC
rnacentral:rRNA from 1 species